rnacentral:rRNA from 1 species
UACGUAGGUGGCAAGCGUUGUCCGGAAUUAUUGGGCGUAAAGCGCGCGCAGGCGGUCCUUUAAGUCUGAUGUGAAAGCCCACGGCUCAACCGUGGAGGGUCGUUGGAAACUGGGGGACUUGAGUACAGAAGAGAAGAGUGGAAUUCCACGUGUAGCGGUGAAAUGCGUAGAGAUGUGGAGGAACACCAGUGGCGAAGGCGACUCUUUGGUCUGUAACUGACGCUGAGGCGCGAAAGCGUGGGGAGCAAACAGG